GGCGAAGAUACAUGUAUUUUAUUAUCUUCUAUUUUGGUGAAAGAUUAAAAAGUAAAUUUCUUAAGGUAGGUGAAGCUUUUGAGGUCAAUUGAUAUCCUUUGAGUUGAGAUCUUGGCGGAGAAGCUCAAUGAUGACUGAAGUGUUCAUUAUUUCUUGAUAUAUGAUUGAUUCUGGUGUUUUUCCUUCUGUCUCAUCAUCAUGAAUUCUAUGUAUUCUUUUAUAAAUGAUAACCACAUGGAGCUGUAGCCAGUUCUUCUGUAUAAUAACCAACAGCAAAUGAAUUAUUUAUGAAUUUCCUAUCUCAACUAAAGAACUUCUCUAAGUCUAUGGUGUUCAAGAGGAUCAUAUUUUGCGCAACUAGGGAGAUAUCUUAACACGAUAGUUUGUCAUUGAGGAGUUUGUUGUUGAUCCCAACUAUGGGGAGAAGGUUAACUUCUUAUUUUCUACUCUUAGUUUCUUAGACAUUAAAUGUGCAGCCUUUUUUCUAUUGCAAGAGUUUGACUGCUUUCUUAAUGUAUAUAAAUUUUCUCGCCAUAGACGCUUGCAAGUUAGAGUCUAAAUUCUAUAUGUAGUUUAUACGUUCUCAUCUGCAUAUGUUUAUAUUUGACGUUGGUUCUGUCUCUAUUGUUUUAUUUUGUUUUGUUGAUCUACCUAGCCAAAAAUAUUUCUACAUGGAAUGAUUUGAAGAAAAAUAUAUAUUUAUACUUAAGUUUGGAUUGUGAUCUAAAAUAAUACUCCUGGCGAAGAUACAUGUAUUUUAUUAUCUUCUAUUUUGGUGAAAGAUUAAAAAGUAAAUUUCUUAAGGUAGGUGAAGCUUUUGAGGUCAAUUGCUAUCCUUUGAGUUGAGAUCUUGGCGGAGAAGCUCAAUGAUGACUGAAGUGUUCAUUAUUUCUUGAUAUAUGAUUGAUUCUGGUGUUUUUCCUUCUGUCUCAUCAUCAUGAAUUCUAUGUAUUCUUUUAUAAAUGAUAACCACAUGGAGCUGUAGCCAGUUCUUCUGUAUAAUAACCAACAGCAAAUGAAUUAUUUAUGAAUUUCCUAUCUCAACUAAAGAACUUCUCUAAGUAUGCAUAUAUUAAGCUGGCUAAUUUUAUAUGCCAUAAAUCAACUUCGCAAUCUUGCAUACUCACUGCAAAACAUCAAAUUCUUCAAAUAACAAUGAAAUAAUGUCCGCUAGCGUGGAUAGACCACCAGAAACAAAGUCAUGUUUUUAUUGAAAAUAAACUAAAUAUUUACAAAUUUGUAUAGAAAUUUAAAAUAAUUUAGCAGAAAAAGGUUAAACGAUUUUUCUAUAUGAUCUCAAACCUGUUAACGAUAUGAGAUCUUAACCAUUUUAAUUGGCCCGUUUGCAGGCUCUCCAAUUCCUUUCGACAAUUGGUUUUAAUUUAUAAGCUGUAACCGCAUUGUUUGGGACAAACUUUCCUAAUAUUUUUGACAUCACCAUUAAAGACAAGGAGAGACAUUAUGAUUUUCUUUAAAUGUUUUUUGUAAUGUUCUUAUCUCUAAUCACUAGUUUUUGUCCAUGUAAAAUAGCUAAUGUGUAUGAAUCAUGAAUAUGUAAAAGGCUAAGUAUUCUCUCCAAAAGUAGCACUAAAUUAAGUUGUUGAUUCUGAUUCCCUUUAAUGAUAUUGACUCUGAAGAAUUAGUCUGUAAAGCUGUUGAAUCCACCUUGCUUACGACUGGAACCGGGGACUCUACGAUUGGAUUUGCAUAUUAACAAUCAUAUAUCCGUAAUGAAAAAUAUAAAUGUAACACAUCCCGCCCGUAGGGCGGACCGACCCUAGUUACGAAUAAAAAGGUAUGAAAAUAUUGAUUUUUUUAGUUUCAUUAAACUUACGCAAACAAAAAUAAAAAAUGAAAAAAUCUAAUCGGUUCAUUUUUUUGGUCACUUACCAGUUGCCAUAGUUUCUCGUUGUAGUCAACUUCAAUUCUUGAUAAAAAAAAACAUUACACAUCAUAUGUAAAUCCAAAUAAAUCAAAUGUUUGUAAUGAGCAACCAAUAUAAUUGUCCAAUUUUUUACAUUCUUGUUAAAACCUGGCUCAACCCACUACCAACCCAAUUAUUUUACUAUAUUCUUCACUGUAAUGACAAAGGCCCAUAUCUGGCCUACUGAUUUAGUCUGGUCAACUCUUACAAUCUCUUCAUUAUACCAAGACAAAAGACUUUGUUUCUAUCGACUAAAGAAAAGAGAGCAGUAAAAGAGACAUUAGGCAUUGAUAAAGAAGGAGGUGAUGGUACAUACCAAGACAAAAGACUUUGUUUGCGGUGAUUCAUCUAUCUCUAAGAAAACCUAAGAGAGUCACAAAUGGAGACCUGAGGAUUCCACGGUUAUAUCUCCGGUGAAUCUUUGCCGCAAUAAUGAAAAUGGUGGAUUUCUCUGCAUCUCCACUGGCUUGCUGAUUCUUC
rnacentral:lncRNA from 1 species